AUGGAACAAGAGAUUGAAAAUAUGAUACUUAACAUGGGUUCACUUGGAACCAAUUUUUCGCAAAAGAGAGGAUUAUCAAGGCAUUACUCAGGGAAGGCAAGAUCAUUUGUUUGUAUGGAAGAUGUUCAUUUCUUGGAAGAUUUGAAGAAACCAAAACAUCCUGAUGCAAAGAAGAGAAAGAAACAAUCUUAUAAGAAGGAAUUUAUCAAUGUUAAUCCACAUCCUUGUCGAAGAGUACCUAGUUGCACUCAAUUAACUACCCCUUAUGUCAAUGCUUAG